AUUGAACGCUGGCGGCAUGCCUUACACAUGCAAGUCGAACGGCAGCACGGGAGCAAUCCUGGUGGCGAGUGGCGAACGGGUGAGUAAUAUAUCGGAACGUGCCCAGUCGUGGGGGAUAACGUAGCGAAAGCUACGCUAAUACCGCAUACGAUCUAUGGAUGAAAGCGGGGGGAUCGCAAGACCUCGCGCGAUUGGAGCGGCCGAUAUCAGAUUAGGUAGUUGGUGAGGUAAAGGCUCACCAAGCCGACGAUCUGUAGCUGGUCUGAGAGGACGACCAGCCACACUGGGACUGAGACACGGCCCAGACUCCUACGGGAGGCAGCAGUGGGGGAAUUUUGGGACAAUGGGCGGCAAGCCUGAUCCAGCAAUGCCGCGUGCAGGA
rnacentral:rRNA from 1 species